GAGGGUAUAGCUCAGUGGUAGAGCAUAGGUUUAGUACACACAAGGACCUCGGUUCAAUCCCCAGUACCUCCA
rnacentral:tRNA from 1 species